rnacentral:rRNA from 1 species
UACGAACUGUGCGAACGUUAUUCGGAAUCACUGGGCUUACAGGGUGCGUAGGCGGUCUGUUAAGUAGGGUGUGAAAGCCCCCGGCUCAACCGGGGAAUGGCGCCCUAAACUGGCGGGCUGGAGUGAGAUAGGGGUGUGCGGAACUUCCGGUGGAGCGGUGAAAUGUGUUGAUAUCGGAAGGAACGCCGGUGGCGAAAGCGGCACACUGGAUCUCAACUGACGCUGAGGCACGAAAGCCAGGGGAGCGAACGGG